rnacentral:lncRNA from 1 species
ACCUUAUCAUCUCUGUGGAUGUCUCUGGAAAGGAGGCUGCCAGGGUUUCUGCCACACUUCUUGGUAUCUUUGGGGGGAAAUGGUAAAUUAAAUUCAAUGAGGGAUUUGAAUAGCUCAGGAGACAAUUUCUGAUCAGACCACCACCUUUGCUCUUUCAAGAUAGAGAGAGAUCAACUGCCUCCCACCUGGAAUCUCUCUUCCCUCAAGAUUCCAAGCCUCCUCAACCAUUGCCCACUGUGGAUGGAAACCUUUGCAUAUCUUCCAGGCUCUGUCCUUCACAGUCUCUGGAUUAUUCCUCUAUCACAGAACAAACCUGAAGAAUCCAGUGAGAAGCAAAUACCAAUGCUGGUGAUCUGAUUGGGCAGAGAGUGACUAAUCUGGAAUUCAAAUAUUUGAGCUCUGCUACUCCCACCAAUGUAAUCUUGAUCUAGUCACUUCCUUCUAAGCCUCAGUCCACUGAGCUAUGAAAUGGGAAGAUUAGAAUAAAAGAUCUGUGAAC